rnacentral:rRNA from 1 species
GGGGAAUAUUGCUCAACUGGGGAAACUCUGACGCAGCAAUACCGCGUGAGUUCAGAAGGUUUUCGGAUCGUACAGCUCUGCCAUUGGGGAAGAAAAAAAGACGGUACUCAAGCAGAAAUUCCCGGCUAACUACGUGCCAGCAGCCGCGGUAAUACGUAGGGGACAAGCGUUGUCCGGAUUUACUGGGCGUAAAGGGCACGCAGGCGGUUUUUUAAGUCAGAUGUGAAAGGUACCGGCUCAACCGGUGACAUGCAUUUGAAACUGAAAGACUUGAGUAUUGGAGAGGCAAGUGGAAUUCCUAGUGUAGCGGUGAAAUGCGUAGAUAUUAGGAGGAACACCGGUGGCGAAGGCGGCUUGCUGGACAAAUACUGACGCUGAGGUGCGAAAGCGUGGGGAGCAAACA